GAGUUUGAUCCUGGCUCAGAACGAACGCUGGCGGCAGGCCUCAUACAUGCAAGUCGAACGCCCCUUCGGGGGAGUGGCAGACGGGUGAGUAACACGUGGGAACCUACCCAGAGGUUCGGAAUAACUCAGGGAAACUUGAGCUAAUACCGGAUAAGCCUUGCGAGGGAAAGAUUCAUCGCCUUUGGAUGGGCCCGCGGCAGAUUAGUUUGUUGGUGGGGUAAUGGCCUACCAAGACUACGAUCUGUAGCUGGUUUGAGAGGAUGAUCAGCCACACUGGGACUGAGACACGGCCCAGACUCCUACGGGAGGCAGCAGUAGGGAAUCUUGCACAAUGGGCGAAAGCCUGAUGCAGCCAUGCCGCGUGAGUGAAAGAAGGCUUUAGGGUUGUAAAACUCUUUCAGCGGGGAAGAUAAUGACGGUACCCGCAGAAGAAGCCCCGGCUAACUCCGUGCCAGCAGCCGCGGUAAUACGGAGGGGGCUAGCGUUGUUCGGAAUUACUGGGCGUAAAGCGCGCGUAGGCGGUCCAGAAAGUCUGCUGUUAAAACGUGGAGCUUAACUCCAUCAUGGCAGUGGAAACUGUUGGGCUUGAGUGUGGUAGGGGCAGAGGGAAUUCCCGGUGUAGCGGUGAAAUGCGUAGAUAUCGGGAAGAACACCAGUGGCGAAGGCGCUCUGCUGGGCCAUAACUGACGCUCAUGGACGAAAGCCAGGGGAGCGAAAGGGAUUAGAUACCCCUGUAGUCCUGGCCGUAAACGAUGAACACUAGGUGUCGGGGGAAUCGACCCCCUCGGUGUCGUAGCCAACGCGUUAAGUGUUCCGCCUGGGGAGUACGCACGCAAGUGUGAAACUCAAAGGAAUUGACGGGGGCCCGCACAAGCGGUGGAGUAUGUGGUUUAAUUCGAUGCAACGCGAAGAACCUUACCAGGGUUUGACAUCCUGCGAACCUCUUGGAAACGAGAGGGUGCCUUCGGGAACGCAGUGACAGGUGGUGCAUGGCUGUCGUCAGCUCGUGUCGUGAGAUGUUGGGUUAAGUCCCGCAACGAGCGCAACCCACGUCUUUAGUUGCCAGCAUUUAGUUGGGCACUCUAGAGAGACCGCCGGUGAUAAACCGGAGGAAGGUGUGGAUGACGUCAAGUCAUCAUGCCCCUUACAUCCUGGGCUACACACGUACUACAAUGCUACGGACAAAGGGCAGCAAGUUCGCGAGGACAAGCAAAUCCCAUAAACCGUGGCUCAGUUCAGAUCGUAGGCUGCAACUCGCCUACGUGAAGGAGGAAUCGCUAGUAAUCGCAGGUCAGCAUACUGCGGUGAAUACGUUCCCGGGCCUUGUACACACCGCCCGUCACACCAUGGAAGUUGGCCACGCCCGAAGCCGUUACUCCAACCCUUGUGGAGGAGGACGUCGAAGGUGGGGCUGAUGACUGGGAUGAAGUCGUCACAAGGUAACCGUA
rnacentral:rRNA from 1 species